CAGCAGCCACGGGAAUACGAAGGGGGCUAGCGUUGCUCGGAAUUACUGGGCGUAAAGCGCAUGUAGGCGGAUAUUUAAGUCAGGGGUGAAAUCCCAGAGCUCAACUCUGGAACUGCCUUUGAUACUGGGUAUCUUGAGUAUGGAAGAGGUAAGUGGAAUUCCGAGUGUAGAGGUGAAAUUCGUAGAUAUUCGGAGGAACACCAGUGGCGAAGGCGGCUUACUGGUCCAUUACUGACGCUGAGGUGCGAAAGCGUGGGGAGCAAACAGGAUUAGAUACCCCUGUAGUCCCUGUCUCUUAUAC
rnacentral:rRNA from 1 species